rnacentral:sRNA from 1 species
ACCACCUCUGAAGCCUUGAAUCCACAAGCCUGCAUCAUGCAGACAACACUAGUCAUUUGCUGGAACUUAAUUGUUUUAAAAACCGGCAGCCACAAUGCUGAUGCAUUGGGGUCCACAGAUCAAGCACUAGUGGUCUACUCGUCCAUAACACAUCUACCGCACCCCUGUUGGGGCUGUGCCUCCGGGGAAAAUCUUCCGGAGUGCCCGUGACUGCUCUGCGUCUGAGGGGUCUGUAGGUUAACCGAGAUCGGAAGCAGGUCUCUACGCUUUGCUUGUAGAUAUGUUUUGGAGUUCACUUGGUAGAUUAAAAUAUGACCGACCUCCUCUAGUAACAGAGGAGACCUUGUGUUCCGUAGGUGAACCUGCGGAAGGAUCAUUACAGAGUUGGGGUCUUUCAGGCCCGAUCUCCAACCCUAUGUGUACUCACCCUCGUUGCUUUGGCGGGCCCGGUUGGGGUGACCCACCCGGUGGCCUUCGGCUUCCCAGUGCCCGUCAGAGACCCAUUCAAAAUCUGUUAAUAGUGUCGUCUGGGUAUCAAUGCAAUAAUUAAAACUUUCAACAACGGAUCUCUUGGUUCUGGCAUCGAUGAAGAACGCAGCGAAAUGCGAUAAGUAAUGUGAAUUGCAGAAUUCAGUGAAUCAUCGAAUCUUUGAACGCACAUUGCGCCUCUCGGUAUUCCGGGAGGCAUGCCUGUUCGAGCGUCAUUUCACCACUCAAGCCGUGCUUGACGUUGGGUCCUCGUCCCCUUGGGGCGUGCCCGAAAAUCAGUGGCGGCACAGUCCGGCUUCAAGCGGUAUCAAUUUGUCCUCGCUUUGGAAGUUUUGGACCUGAGCCUGCCAGACAACCCUCCCCCUUCUUAAGGUUGACCUCGGAUCAGGUAGGGAUACCCGCUGAACUUAAGCAUAUCAAUAAGCGGAGGAAAAGAAACCAACAGGGAUUGCCUCAGUAACGGCGAGUGAAGCGGCAACAGCUCAAAUUUGAAAUCUGGCCCUUUCAGGGUCCGAGUUGUAAUUUGCAGAGGAUGCUUCGGGUCCAGCUCCGGUCUAAGUUCCUUGGAACAGGACGUCAUAGAGGGUGAGAAUCCCGUAUGUGACCGGUCGCGAUGCCCGUGUGAAGCUCCUUCGACGAGUCGAGUUGUUUGGGAAUGCAGCUCAAAACGGGUGGUAAAUUUCAUCUAAAGCUAAAUAUUGGCCAGAGACCGAUAGCGCACAAGUAGAGUGAUCGAAAGAUGAAAAGCACUUUGGAAAGAGAGUCAAACAGUACGUGAAAUUGUUGAAAGGGAAGCGCUUGCAACCAGACUUGCCUGCAGGCGAUCAGCCGGUAUUCUUACCGGUGCACUUGCCUGCCGUCAGGCCAGCAUCGGUUCGGGUGGCUGGAUAAAGUCCACUGGAAUGUAGCUCCCCUCGGGGAGUGUUAUAGCCAGGGGUGCCAUGCAGCCCGCCCGGACCGAGGACCGCGCU